rnacentral:misc_RNA from 1 species
CCUUUCAUUCUCUUCCACGUACUGAUUGUUUGUAGUGCGAACUUGCUGUACCUCAGAGUCCCUCUCAGCAAUCAAAGACAGAGCAAGCCUUAGCUCAGUUUGCAGUUGAUUCAUCUCAGCAGCAAGUGUACGCAAUUCCUGUUCACGAGCUGCUAACAUGUGAGCAAGAUCAACCUGAGGUGUGCUCCCAUCAUUAGACCGCUCAUAUUUGCUUAGGCACUCUUGCAAAUGAAGAAUCUCCUCACUCAAAAAAUGAAGGUUCUCACGCUGAUAUUGAAGUAAAGCCAUUUGCUGAUCAGAAAGUCGACCACCAUCAUGAUACCUCAAGCCUUCUAAAGAACUUGAUUGCUGGAGUGGAGAAUAUAAUGACUUCAAAAUAUCAGGCUGAGAAUCUAAUGAAUUGUACUUCUGUAGAUAACCUGCAGGCUCCAAGAUACAUGCACAAAAACAAUAAGGGAAAAAAUUGCAACAUACUUAUAUUAAGUCCAAUAUAUUAAUUUAUGAGAUUAGAUCUGGUAAACAGGUGAACCCAGUAGAAUUCUAGCUUUGGCAAGACAACAGUAGCUUCAAGAUUAUGUGCAUUCACAUAGAAGAAGAAAAUUUGUCUUAUGUUAAGUUGUUAUAUUAUAUAAUUACUUGUGCAAUAUUUUGUCACUGGAAAAUGGAAAACACAAAUCCAUCUUUGAAAUGGAUGCUUCCAUUUGCAUGAAACACAUUCUUCAGAAAUCAAGAAUUUCUGAAGAGGUAAUAAUAAGUUUCAUUAGCAGUCAUUAUCCAUAAGAACAGCCCAUACAAUGUCAAAGUCAUGGAAUGAUGGUGCCUAUGGAAUAUGGACAGAUUUUUCCUACAUUUAUCAUUGCAUUAGAGUGGAGAAAAUCUCAUCUCAGCUACCCUAUAAGAUUAGAAAAUUGUCAAGGCAAUCCACUUGCGUAGGGCCACUGCGACAUAAAUUAGGUUGUGAAAACAUCUCAAAAUAUGCAAAUCAACUCACCAACAUAGAUGCUCAAAAAGGACACAGCACAUAUUGCUUCAGUCAACACAAUAAUCCUGCAGAUUUUGUUAAAUAAGCUAAGAAAUUGUCAUCAAGUAUACAGUUUGAAAAGGCAAUUAGCACUCUGUGUUUCAUUCUUAACCUACUAGAAAGGCAGAAGGCAAGAUGUAGACAAUAAAUACAAAUAUAACAAUGAGGAAAAAGAGCCCAAUUUCAUGGCAAUAAACCUAAACUCCACAACAAUUGCUGCUUAAAUAUUGGUGAUAUAUGUACCUUAGUAAUGCUGGGAUUGAAAGAAAGCUGAUUUGUGGUUUCCAUACCAUGACAAGCAACAUUGCAGCAGUUCCUAUAAUUUAUCUAAAUUAUUCAAUAAAAUGAUGAAAGCAAUAAUUUCAAAGGCAUAGAAGGGAAUUUUAGUAAAUUAGAAAUUUGCAUUUUGUUUAUGAAAUAUAACGAGCAAUGGUGCAAAGCCAACUCUAAUUGCAACGAGUCAAUCUGUUACAGCAUGAUAAUUUUUUUUAAGUACCUAAACGAAUAUGUUGCUUUUCUAACCCUUAAUAUCAAACUUUUAACAGUGAUCUCCAACCAACCAUUCUUUCCUAACAAAAAAGACUUAAUUUCCCACUAGAAGAUAAAAUCAUAGAGUGUGUGUAUGCGUGUAUGUGUACUUACCAUAGGCAGUAAUGGCAAAUGGUAAGCGAACAACAUGCUUCAAUUUUUGGCUGAAACUAUAAUAGCCCUGCAAAAUGAAUGAGCAUGUAACAGUUUCUACACCAGAUAAAACAUAAAAGGUAAAUUAAUAAACCACAUGAUUUGACAUCCAGAUAGCACUAGAGUUAAAUAGAAACAUCAAAGGAUGUCUGAGAAACUCUUUUACCACUGCAAUCUGAAUCUUGAUUAAAAAGACAGACAGAGAGAUUCCAAACAAGUGCAGACAACUGAUUUUUGGAAGGACAAACUAGCUGCAUUUAUCAUAAAACUAGUUAAAUUAGCAUUUUACUACUUUCUCAAUGAAGAUUACCUGUAAACGAAUUUUUUGGACUUGAGAAACAAAAUAUUGUUGGAAGAUGCCUGAAAGAUUGAAAUAAAUGCAUUAUAGUUGCAGCACACUCGCUGAUCACAAAGCUAUGCAGGCUGCCAGAUUAGAGAGACUAAAUAAUGGACGUAGAAAACAACAAACAGAAAACCAGAACAGAGAAAAAUAUAUCUUAAGGAUAUCAUAUCGUCAGAAAUCAAUUGCCCAAACUAAAUUGCAGUGUGUCUCAUGCCAGUGAAACAUGUUCUCAAAUGAGGUUGCCAUUGUGAGCAAAAUGAUAUACCGAAUGGUACAAAAUUGAGUAGCAAGAAUAAUAUAACUUGAGGACCCACUAGCAAGCCAUUGAAUGUAAUAUUCCUAUUGACAGUUUAAUUCACAAUUUGCAAGGUGUAAUUAGGACAUAAAGUUUCAAUAAUUUCAAGAGAAGUAACAGACAAACGUUCGUUAUUUAAGAUCCUAGAUAGUCAGAUUUCCUCCUUUCAAUUAGCAACUUUAAUCAAGACUCAUAAAAGUGAUAUAAUGCCAUAUAGUAAUUCAAAAAAUGAAAAAGCAUAGCCCAUUUGCUCUGAUCUAGCAAUUAAAUCAGGAAACCAGCAAUAAUUCAGACAUUGUAAUGGCAAGUACAAUGAUCCUGUCAAGUUUUCUAAGAUCAGGAAAUUGAGAAAAAAACAAAAAAAGCAUUCAAAAGCUCUAGUAAAGCAGGCCUGUGACUAUUAGAAGAGCAACAUCGCAACUACAAAGCAGCGGUGGGACCAAUCCGUGAUGAAAUACAAAGGGAGCUAUCGCACCCAAAACAGCAUAACCUGCCAGUAGAACACAGUAGACAACAGCUCCAAAAAUACUCCUGCGUUUCCGGUGACCACAUAAAGGAGCCUCAUGAAGUAUAUCAAGGAACAUAGCGUUUUCUUCAGGAGAUGUGGAAGGAGAAUUACCGUGUCUCUGUGUGGACAUCUUCUUUCUUGGUAUUCUAAUUCUACGUCUUUUUUUUUUUUUUUUUUUU